rnacentral:rRNA from 1 species
GCCUGUGACCAAAAUCACCCGCAAUGUGCCCGAUCUUGUCAGAUUUCAGAAGAUUAACAGGGCCGAGUUUGGAUCGUGCUUGGAUGGGCGACCACCAUGCGUGCACAACGGGUGUUGUAGGCU